rnacentral:lncRNA from 1 species
UGUAUUAUUAGUUAUUUAUUUAUUUUAGGAGUAUUCAAACUUCAUGAACUGUAUCCAAUGGAUCUAUCCACAGGACAGGAUAAACUGUUUAACGGUGUAUAUGAAACACUUGGCUCAUUUCUUUAAGACUUGAACCUUAUAUUUAACAAUGUGCUAAAAAGAUAUUCAAACAAGAUCUCAGCCUCAAGAGCAUUGUCUUUUUAAAUGUUCAUUUUGUGGUUGAUCCACCAAUAUUGUCUUAAAUCGGACACUAAGUAAGUACAUUUACAUUAAUAACUGUGCAAUUAUGGCAAAUAUACAUGUACUUUUAAUGGGUAAGCCUAAAGAAAGCAAACCGUUACAUUAUUGUUAAAGUCAAUGCCUUCAUCUAUACACGUACAGUACACUUACAUGUAUUAUAAAAAAAUUGUCACCCUGCUACAUGUGUAUAUUUUUUAUGAAAUUUAAAUGUCCAUUUAAAAGAUUUUGCAAAAUAA